UUUCGAUGAUACGCGAGGAACCUUACCUGGGCUAGAACGCAUUCGGAAUCAGGCCGAAAGGCCUGCGCCAGCGAUGGCCGCUUGCGAGGUGCUGCAUGGUUGUCGUCAGCUCGUGCCGUGAGGUGUCGGGUUAAGUCCCAUAACGAGCGCAACCCCUACUGCUAGUUGCCAGCGGGUCAUGCCGGGGACUCUAGCGGAACUGCCAGCGUAAGCUGCGAGGAAGGUGGGGAUGACGUCAAAUCAGCACGGCCCUUACGUCCAGGGCUACACACGUGUUACAAUGGCCGGUACAGAGGGCAGCCACCCCGCGAGGGGGCGCGAAUCCCGAAAGCCGGUCCCAGUUCGGAUCGGAGUCUGCAACCCGACUCCGUGAAGCUGGAUUCGCUAGUAAUCGCGCAUCAGCCACGGCGCGGUGAAUACGUUCCCGGGCCUU
rnacentral:rRNA from 1 species